UACGGAGGGUGCAAGCGUUAUCCGGAUUCACUGGGUUUAAAGCGUGCGCAGGCGGUUUUGUAAGCCAGAUGUGAAAUCCCCGGGCUCAACCUGGGAAUGGCAUUUGGGACUGCACGGCUAGAGUACGGUAGAGGGGGACGGAAUUCCGCGUGUAGCAGUGAAAUGCGUAGAUAUGCGGAGGAACACCGAUGGCGAAGGCAGUCCCCUGGACCUGUACUGACGCUCAUGCACGAAAGCGUAGGGAGCAAACAGG
rnacentral:rRNA from 1 species